CCCCCCCGGCAAGGGGCAAAGAGGCACCUGAUGGCGUUGUUCUUAUAUCAGUUAAGGACAGAGCAGGUUGUAGUCCUUUGUUCAUCCUAGCUUGAUGCCUAGUUUGGCGGCCAAAGCUGUUCUAUGCCGAGAACUCAUAA